AAAGAACGAACAUGAGUUGUGAACAAUGUUGGAUGGCCGCAGUCUCCGGCACCAACGUGGGCAACGCCGUAGCUGUUCAAAGAAAACGAGACGAACAUGAAACAUGAAGGGAGCUUGGGAGUUGUGACCCACCUGGUGGAUUAUUUACCUGUGCCUUCUCCAUGGAAGAGCAGGGCGCCGGACUCACCAGUUUCAAGAAGAACGAGAAGUCACGUUCAAUGCGAUGAUAACCCUCCUGCUCCUCCUGCUAGUAAUAGCUGGUACAGUCUUAGCUUUUUGUUGUCCGAUGUUUCAAGUUAAAAGUACCUGAUGAUCCUCCUGUUGAGCGUUUCUCGUUCUCCCUUAGCCAACACACACACAUUCGAUGUAUGUACAUACACGCCUUGCUCGCGGAUCAAGUCGAGCAGAACAUGAGAAGAUUGGGAGUACUAGCGAACGACAACACGGCGUCAACGACGACAACGAUCAGAAGGAGGGGGAGGACGAGGUACAGAUCGAAAGGCAAGAAGAUACUACGAAGAACGAGGAGACGGAGGGAGAAGAAGCAGGAGAUGGGCCAGGCACGUCCCCCCGUAGGUCCAGCACCAAAGAUUCGGUUGAAAAAGGGGAAAACGCCUGUUGAGUUGGCAAAGGCAAAACCAAAACGGGAAUCCCACAGCACACAUGGGUAUGAUUUGGCCCUUCAACAUGGGACACUAACCAACUAAUGGUUACCAACAAUAAAACAACGCGAUCUCAGGCCCCUAAAAUGGAUAUGGACGGAGCUUAAAUAUGUGGAGCUCGAACUUACCCACGAGAUAUCACGAGGUCGGAGGUUGACUACUCCGAUCCAGUUAUCGAUGUGUUUGUGCACCACCCGUUCCACACUGUCUGUUGUCUGGGUUCCAGUGGCACUGCUAGGCGGCCUGCUCCUCGGCUCCUCCUGUGCUCCCCGAUCUGGCUCCACUCACAGGCUCCACUCGCUCCACUCGUCCUAGAAGCUCCUCCAAUGUACCACCAAGGAGGCACUAGGGCACCUAAGGUGCAUGGAUGGAUGGAUGGAUAGAUCAAGGAUGGAGCACGACUCCUAGGUGGCUGCUCGCUCGGCAGUGCGCGGCUCAUGCCUCCGCUCCCAUUUCCUGGCAAAGCUGGCCCAACGCGCAUGAACCAAAAAAGGGCAAGUAAGCCUCAGGAAGGAACCCAGAACAGGGCCAAGCGAAGACUCCCGUCAUUCUUGAGUGGCUCGACGGCGGUCCCGCUCCUCUCACCUCUACUCCGGCUCCACUGGCGGUGGCCAGCCAACUCACGUGGGGACACUUUUUCCCUUCCUCGCCUCUUUCGCCGGCUUCCGCAGGGAAUGGGCCACAAACGAGUCGAACGAGACCAACGGCGCCGGCACUUGUGCUCGUCCCUCUUAUGUUCCUGGUCCAUUCAUCCAUCCAUCCAUCCAUCCAUCCAUCCAACGAUGUAUCGUGGAUGAUGGUGCUGAAGAUGAUGACGAGGGAGCAACAGGCCGUUUGGGCUGGGGCUGCUCGCCUUCGUGUUCCAAGGGCUUCGAUCGGCCUGGGCCUGGGUGGGUCGUCCAAGGACUCGUCGUAGGUUGUGGUGCCAUGGAGCGGGGCACGUAAUUUAGAUUGGGACGCCAUCUCACCAAACAGGAAUGCAUUGAGCAGGGUAAUACCCUCCCAACGAACGAGAUUGUGCUCUGCGAACGGAACGAGAUCUAGGACGGACGGAGCUCGGGAGGCAAAGAAUACCACAUGAUGGUGCUGGGUAAUGAUCGUGGGAUGGGGGGAGUUGGGGACUGAGCCGAGUGGCUGAAUGCCGAGUUGGUCGUGGAGCACCACGACCAACGAGUCUGUCCAUUGAGGCGGGGAAAUGUUCUCGCCCGUCUUCCACCUGGGUUGCUCUGGAGCAGGAUUUAUCGUGCCAAAGUGGCGAAGACUGGAUGGAAUUUGUGGGAAUUCGGGACUGGAGCACAAAGAACUGGGCUGAUGAGAACCCCAUAGAGCAAACUAGCUGAUGCUGAGAACAGGGAAACAGAGGAGGGCUUGGGAGCAAGGCAGAGAGUCCAAAGUCUGGUUUGGCUUCCUGUGUCAGAGAUUGGGGUCGGACAAGGGGCACAUCUUGAACCUUAGCUCAAAAAGAACAUAAGCAUUGAAUUCAAUUUCCAACGGUCUGAAACAAUCAUUCUGAGCCUUGCGAGAAACAAAGAAAUGGAACAUACUUUUGAAUCAUCUGCGUUGCAGUCUUCAUAUUUCACCAUUCAGAGUAGAGUGGAAGGAGGGUCUCGUUGAACACCGAUCAAAGCGUUAAUUUUGGAACAAAGGAAAUGAGUUUGCAUGGAAUUGAAAAAUGUCGGUGAUUGGAACAAAUAUAUGGUGUAAUAUUAAUUUGGGAUCAUUAUCCAAUAUGUUUGAAAAAUGAAAGCCGAGGUGCGAUUAAAACGAUCAUAGAGCGGCUUUUUUGAUAGAUAGUAGCGCACAUACAACAAUGAGAAGUGACAAUUAUUAUUAUGUUCAAACCCUCCCAAAACUGCGCUGAAGGGACUCCAAGGAUGAUUUGAAAAACUGUCAUCAAAUCGAUUCAUACUUCCAACUACUUGACGUUUCAAAAAAGGGAACAUAUUUGUAGAGGUUGGGUGACUGACAGCCCGACUAAGAUCGAAGGUUUUUAACGCUCCUCAGGAGCGGUGUAUUCUUUAUUUUUCAGUUAAUGUAUUACAUUUUUUUGAGAGCUUCUCAUCUGUCAUUCAAUGACCGUCAAGAACGCUGAGGUACUUUUUCUCCACAAGUAAUGGAAUGAUCAUGUGCCGAACUGGAAGAAAGAACAAGAUCACCAAGGGGAAGAUCAUUUUCGCGUACGGCCAAGGGGCAAAUCCAAAUGCGCAAAGAACCAAUAACUGACCACAUUGGCACAGAGUGAAAGUGUGGAUUUUUCUCUGAGGAACUUGUCUGAUGUAAUGGUUGGGUGGGUAUGCAGCUUG